GAUUAGCUAGUUGGUGAGGUAACGGCUCACCAAGGCUGCGAUGUCUAGGGGUUCUGAGAGGAUGAUCCCCCACACUGGUACUGAGACACGGACCAGACUCCUACGGGAGGCAGCAGUGAGGAAUAUUGGUCAAUGGGCGCAAGCCUGAACCAGCCAUCCCGCGUGAAGGAAGACUGCCCUAUGGGUUGUAAACUUCUUUUGUACAUGAAGAACGUUUCUUACGAGUAAGAGAGUGACGGUAAUGUACGAAUAAGCAUCGGCUAACUCCGUGCCAGCAGCCGCGGUAAUACGGAGGAUGCAAGCGUUAUCCGGAUUCAUUGGGUUUAAAGGGUACGUAGGUGGCCCUGUAAGUCAGUGGUGAAAACCUGUCGCUUAACGAUAGGCGUGCCAUUGAUACUGYKRGGCUUGAGUCCAGUUGAGGUAGGCGGAAUGUGUAGUGUAGCGGUGAAAUGCAUAGAUAUUACACAGAACUCCGAUUGCGAAGGCAGCUUACUAAACUGACACUGACGCUGAGGUACGAAAGCGUGGGUAGCGAACAGGAUUAGAUACCCUGGUAGUCCACGCCGUAAACGAUGCUCACUGGCUGUAUGCGAUGCACAGUAUGCGGCCAAGCGAAGCGC
rnacentral:rRNA from 1 species